UGUGUGCUUAGGUGCCCGAGCUACUGAGGGUCUAAGUCCGGGCAGCCGAAGAGUGUGGUUAGCAAGAUGAACAAAGAUGCGCAGAUGAGAGCAGCGAUUAACCAAAAGUUGAUAGAAACUGGAGAAAGAGAACGCCUCAAAGAGUUGCUGAGAGCUAAAUUAAUUGAAUGUGGCUGGAAGGAUCAGUUGAAGGCACACUGUAAAGGUAAUCAGUUUCAUUUGGAAGAUAAACUAAUCCCAUUUUUCUGAUCAGGAUUGGUUUGGGGGUUGCUUAUUUUAAGGUAUAUUGAGUAUUCAAGCAUGAUUUUAAACAAAUAUGGAAUUUAAUCUUGUAAUGGUUUCCUCUUGGUGGCAUAUGUAGACCUAAUUCCCAAAUUUUUAGAAAUUUUCUGUUUCUGUUAAGCGUGAGCACUUAAGAUUUUCUCUGGCAUCAGAAUAUGGAAUCUCAUGUCUUUCAGCAACUUUAUUGUUUCUUAUGUUUUAACUUAAAUGGAACACUUUAGGGUUGGCAGACUUAUAGAAAUUAUCUCUUUCCUGUCUUUAACAGUGAAUAUUUGAAAA
rnacentral:sRNA from 1 species